AACGAACGCUGGCGGCGUGGAUAAGACAUGCAAGUCGAACGAGAGAAUUGCUAGCUUGCUAAUAAUUCUCUAGUGGCGCACGGGUGAGUAACACGUGAGUAACCCGCCCCCGAGAGCGGGAUAGCCCUGGGAAACUGGGAUUAAUACCGCAUAGUAUCGAAAGAUUAAAGCAGCAAUGCGCUUGGGGAUGGGCUCGCGGCCUAUUAGUUAGUUGGUGAGGUAACGGCUCACCAAGGCGAUGACGGGUAGCCGGUCUGAGAGGAUGUCCGGCCACACUGGAACUGAGACACGGUCCAGACACCUACGGGUGGCAGCAGUCGAGAAUCAUUCACAAUGGGGGAAACCCUGAUGGUGUGACGCCGCGUGGGGGAAUGAAGGUCUUCGGAUUGUAAACCCCUGUCAUGUGGGAGCAAAUUAAAAAGAUAGUACCACAAGAGGAAGAGACGGCUAACUCUGUGCCAGCAGCCGCGGUAAUACAGAGGUCUCAAGCGUUGUUCGGAAUCACUGGGCGUAAAGCGUGCGUAGGCUGUUUCGUAAGUCGUGUGUGAAAGGCGCGGGCUCAACCCGCGGACGGCACAUGAUACUGCGAGACUAGAGUAAUGGAGGGGGAACCGGAAUUCUCGGUGUAGCAGUGAAAUGCGUAGAUAUCGAGAGGAACACUCGUGGCGAAGGCGGGUUCCUGGACAUUAACUGACGCUGAGGCACGAAGGCCAGGGGAGCGAAAGGGAUUAGAUACCCCUGUAGUCCUGGCAGUAAACGGUGCACGCUUGGUGUGCGGGGAAUCGACCCCCUGCGUGCCGGAGCUAACGCGUUAAGCGUGCCGCCUGGGGAGUACGGUCGCAAGAUUAAAACUCAAAGAAAUUGACGGGGACCCGCACAAGCGGUGGAGUAUGUGGCUUAAUUCGAUGCAACGCGAAGAACCUUACCUGGGCUUGACAUGUAAUGAACAACAUGUGAAAGCAUGCGACUCUUCGGAGGCGUUACACAGGUGCUGCAUGGCCGUCGUCAGCUCGUGUCGUGAGAUGUUUGGUUAAGUCCAGCAACGAGCGCAACCCCUGUUGCCAGCUACCAGCACGUGAAGGUGGGGACUCUGGCGAGACUGCCCAGAUCAACUGGGAGGAAGGUGGGGACGACGUCAGGUCAGUAUGGCCCUUAUGCCCAGGGCUGCACACGUACUACAAUGCCCAGUACAGAGGGGGCCGAAGCCGCGAGGCGGAGGAAAUCCUGAAAACUGGGCCCAGUUCGGACUGUAGGCUGCAACCCGCCUACACGAAGCCGGAAUCGCUAGUAAUGGCGCAUCAGCUACGGCGCCGUGAAUACGUUCCCGGGUCU
rnacentral:rRNA from 1 species